rnacentral:rRNA from 1 species
GGUGAACGCUGGCGGCGUGCCUAAUACAUGCAAGUCGAGCGAACAGACGAGGAGCUUGCUCCUUUGACGUUAGCGGCGGACGGGUGAGUAACACGUGGGUAACCUACCUAUAAGACUGGGAUAACUUCGGGAAACCGGAGCUAAUACCGGAUAAUAUUUCGAACCGCAUGGUUCGAUAGUGAAAGAUGGCUUUGCUAUCACUUAUAGAUGGACCUGCGCCGUAUUAGCUAGUUGGUAAGGUAACGGCUUACCAAGGCAACGAUACGUAGCCGACCUGAGAGGGUGAUCGGCCACACUGGAACUGAGACACGGUCCAGACUCCUACGGGAGGCAGCAGUAGGGAAUCUUCCGCAAUGGGCGAAAGCCUGACGGAGCAACGCCGCGUGAGUGAUGAAGGUCUUCGGAUCGUAAAACUCUGUUAUUAGGGAAGAAUAAACGUGUAAGUAACUGUGCACGUCUUGACGGUACCUAAUCAGAAAGCCACGGCUAACUACGUG